rnacentral:tRNA from 1 species
GUCUCUGUGGCGCGAUCGGUUUGUGCGUUUGGCUGUUAACUAAAAGGUUGGUGGUUCAAGCCCACCCAGUGACG